rnacentral:lncRNA from 1 species
AAGUUUGCUGAAUUUUGUGUGUGGUCCAGCUGAUUUAAAUGGACUGAAAUGUGAGGCCCAAACUUGGAGGCCCAAUUCAGUAUGAAGAAAUCUCUAGAAUGUGGAAAUCGGCUGUUGAACUGAAACGCGUUUUCUGUUUCAAAUGACACCUCUUCUGGAUGACAGACAAGUGGCACUCUUUGGACCGUUGGAUCAAAUGCAAGACUCUCUAUUAUAAAAGGCAGUGGACGUCUCUAGGGUUUUACUCUCUUGACUUUCUGACUACUCCUCUCUCGUUCUUUUCCUCUUCUUUGUAGAAUCUGAAAACCUCUCAUUUUUCUUGUGUGAUUUUGAGAGUAUAGAUGGUGUUAUAGUGAACUCUUGUGUGAGUUCUAGAUGAUGUGAGAAGAUCUUGUGCUUGCGAGAGUGUUAGAACUAUGUGUUCUUGUAAUAUGACAUUUUUGCUUAUUUUUGGGCAGUUCAUUGUGGAUUUUGAGCUUAAUCCUAACGGAUACUCAAUGAGGAUUAGGCGUUUGAAGCUAUCCCCGAACCUCGGGGCCUUUGGGCCGAAAAAUCCUGUGUUUUUGAUCUUGUUAUUAAUCUAUUUUGUUGUGUUCGAUUUACAAAUUACAACACAAAUAUCUUUUCUAAUUACAACAAUAGUAUCAGAGCUUUAGAAAUUCUGAUUUGUAUUGUGUUUUGAGCUUCUGGUUUUUUUGAUCGAACACUUGGAUCUGUGGAGAUCUAUUAUUCUGCCUUUCGUUUCUUGAAAUUUUUUAAGUGGUUCUUCUAAUACAUGGUUGGGUUCUUGGUGUUUCUGAGUAUCGUCUUUUGAAAAUAAUUGCGUCUUUACAAAAUCUUGGUAACCGAUAGUUUUUCAAAGAUAGAGUUUCUGUGAAUCUUCCCUAAAUCUACCUUUGUCUAGGGGUCAUUGUGAGAACCCUAGAAUCUGAGGGGACUAGGGCUUCGAUUCAAGAAACUUCAUUCUUUUCAAGAUUAUUUUUUUUAAAAUACAUAAUCGGUUAUUGUGAGGACAUUGAGAUAUUCCAAAAUAUUUUUCUUUGCACAUAUACUGCUGUAUAUACCGUUGAUUAUACUGAUACUCAAAAAUUCAUUUAUUCAGGAAAGGACUGAAAAUACUGAUUGACUAAGACAGUGCUUCUUGAAGGUAUAUGUAGUGCACUUAUCUUUUUGGUAGCUUACCUAGUAUAAGUGUAAUUUGACCCUGAACUCCAUUGUGUGCUUGGCAAUUUUGUAUAUUAUCCUUAUAUAUAAAUACUGUGAAUUUGGAAUAAUUGAUCGUUACUAUAUCACUGUGAUAUUAUUGCUGGCUAUUUCAUAUCUGCGUAUAUAUAUUGUUCGAAC